GACGAACGCUGGCGGCGUGCCUAAUACAUGCAAGUCGAGCGGACAGAAGGGAGCUUGCUCCCGGAAGUUAGCGGCGGACGGGUGAGUAACACGUGGGCAACCUACCCUGUAGAUCGGGAUAACAUCGAGAAAUCGGUGCUAAUACCGGAUAAUCAUUUGAAGUGCAUGCUUCGAAUGUAAAAGAUGGCUCCGGCUAUCACUACGGGAUGGGCCCGCGGCGCAUUAGCUAGUUGGUAAGGUAAUGGCUUACCAAGGCAACGAUGCGUAGCCGACCUGAGAGGGUGAUCGGCCACACUGGGACUGAGACACGGCCCAGACUCCUACGGUAGGCAGCAGUAGGGAAUCUUCCGCAAUGGAUGAAAGUCUGACGGAGCAACGCCGCGUGAGUGAUGAAGGUUUUCGGAUCGUAAAGCUCUGUUGUUAGGGAAGAACAAGUGCCGUUUGAAUAAGGCGGCACCUUGACGGUACCUAACCAGAAAGCCACGGCUAACUACGUGCCAGCCGCCGCGGUAA
rnacentral:rRNA from 1 species